GUUAGAGAGGAAGACCACAGGUACACCUAGCUAGACCUCCAGGGACUGCAUGUCGACGAGGCCUUACUGCACCUGUCUGAGGUGUUAGAGAGGAAGACCACAGGUACACCUAGCUAGACCUCCACGGACUGCAUGUCGACGAGGCCUUACUGCACCUGUCUGAGGUGUUAGAGAGGAAGACCACAGGUACACCUAGCUAGACCUCCAGGGACUGCAUGUCGACGAGGCCUUACUGCACCUGUCUGAGGUGUUAGAGAGGAAGACCACAGGUACACCUAGCUAGACCUCCAGGGACUGCAUGUCGACGAGGCCUUACUGCACCUGUCUGAGGUGUUAGAGAGGAAGACCACAGGUACACCUAGCUAGACCUCCACGGACUGCAUGUCGACGAGGCCUUACUGCACCUGUCUGAGGUGUUAGAGAGGAAGACCACAGGUACACCUAGCUAGACCUCCACGGACUGCAUGUCGACGAGGCCUUACUGCACCUGUCUGAGGUGUUAGAGAGGAAGACCACAGG